rnacentral:rRNA from 1 species
UAUCCGCCCGGGUACUACGAGCAAUAGCUUAAAACCCAAAGGACUUGGCGGUGCUUUAGACCCAACUAGAGGAGCCUGUCCUAGAACCGAUAACCCCCGUUCAACCUCACCUUUCCUUGUCAUAUCCGCCUAUAUACCGCCGUCGUCAGAUUACUCUGUGAGGAACUCGUAGUAUACAGAAUCGGUCACAGCCAAAAACGCCAGGUCGAGGUGUAGCGUAUGGAAAGGGCUAGAGAUGGGCUACAUUCAAUAUCCUAUAAUGAAUACGAAUGGUACAAAUGAAAAAAGUACUUGAAGGAGGAUUUAGUAGUAAGCAGUGAAUAGAGUGCUCUGCUGAAACUGGCACUAAGGCGCGCACACACCGCCCGUCACUCUCCCCGAGCUAACAGAAAUGCAUUCCUAAUAAGCGAACGCCGCUAAGGGGAGGCAAGUCGUAACAUGGUAAGCGUACCGGAAGGUGCGCUUGGAAUAACUUCAGAGCAUAGCUAAAUAACGUAUAGCAUCUCCCUUACACUGAGAAGAUAUCCGUGCAACCCGGAUUGCCCUGAAGUCUUACAGCUAGCCCAACCCCCUAUGACAAAUAUUACACUAUAAAUAUAACCCAAAUUAUCUAAAGACAAUAAAGCAAAUCAUUUUCCCCUCCAAGUAUAGGAGAUAGAAAAGAGGCCUACGGCGCAAUAAAGAAAGUACCGCAAGGGAAAGCUGAAAGAGAAAUG